rnacentral:rRNA from 1 species
UACGUAGGGGGCAAACGUUGUCCGGAUUUAUUGGGCGUAAAGAGCGUGUAGGCGGCCACACAGGUCAGCUGUGAAAACUCGAGGCUCAACCUCGAGACGUCGGUUGAAACCGUAUGGCUAGAGUCCGGAAGAGGAGAGUGGAAUUCCCGGUGUAGCGGUGAAAUGCGCAGAUAUCGGGAAGAACACCCGUGGCGAAGGCGGCUCUCUGGGACGGUACUGACGCUGAGACGCGAAAGCGUGGGGAGCGAACAGG